AAACAUCCUAUUCCAGGAACCGCGUGACCACACCGACCACCGUCCUUGAAAGAGCCCCCUCCACCGUUCAAGCGACUUCUAAGUGGAAAUUCCAAAGAGAUAAGGAAAAGGAAAUACAAUGAAGGCCGUAUAUGUAUGUAGGACACACAUUCUUCUGUCUCAAUGAUGUGCCUCAGCAACUAUGGUUUCAACUUGUAGUGCAGGAAAAAGCUGUAACUUUCUAUGCUAUUGUGGAUUCAAGCGGAUCUAAGGGGAUCACCAUGGCUCCUCUAUUAAGCCGAACUAGUCUAAUUUUAGGAAGAAAUAAUGGUUGAACAUAGCGCACCAAUAUAGAAUAGUUGUCAUGGGUGCAAAGUGUAAGUUCCAUAUUUAUGUGUAUACAGAUUCUGUCUUAUCAGCACGGUAGAAAGGAAAACCCCAGAAGAGCUGCCUUUUCUGCAAGUUUCCCUUUCAUAAAGGUGUAAACACUCUGGAUGCUCGGAUGGGUCCCUCCCUCCACUGAUCAUGUAAAUAGCUAUUUUAAUUUGCUUUCA